rnacentral:rRNA from 1 species
GAUGAACGCUAGCUACAGGCUUAACACAUGCAAGUCGAGGGGAAACGAUAUCGGAAGCUUGCUUCCGAUAGGCGUCGACCGGCGCACGGGUGAGUAACGCGUAUCCAACCUGCCCACCACUUGGGGAUAACCUUGCGAAAGUAAGACUAAUACCCGAUGAUAUCUCUAGACGACAUCUGAAAGGGAUUAAAGAUUUAUCGGUGAUGGAUGGGGAUGCGUCUGAUUAGCUUGUUGGCGGGGUAACGGCCCACCAAGGCAACGAUCAGUAGGGGUUCUGAGAGGAAGGUCCCCCACAUUGGAACUGAGACACGGUCCAAACUCCUACGGGAGGCAGCAGUGAGGAAUAUUGGUCAAUGGGCGAGAGCCUGAACCAGCCAAGUAGCGUGCAGGACGACGGCCCUAUGGGUUGUAAACUGCUUUUAUAAGGGAAUAAAGUGAGUCUCGUGAGACUUUUUGCAUGUACCUUAUGAAUAAGGACCGGCUAAUUCCGUG